CAGCAGCCGCGGGAAUACGAAGGGUGCAAGCGUUACUCGGAAUUACUGGGCGUAAAGCGUGCGUAGGUGGUGGUUUAAGUCCGUUGUGAAAGCCCUGGGCUCAACCUGGGAAUUGCAGUGGAUACUGGAUCACUAGAGUGUGGUAGAGGAUAGUGGAAUUUCCGGUGUAGCAGUGAAAUGCGUAGAGAUCGGAAGGAACAUCUGCGGCGAAGGCGACUAUCUGGGCCAACACUGACACUGAGGCACGAAAGCGUGGGGAGCAAACAGGAUUAGAUACCCCAGUAGUCCCUGUCUCUUAUAC
rnacentral:rRNA from 1 species